CCUGGCUCAGAUUGAACGCUGGCGGCAGGCCUAACACAUGCAAGUCGAGCGGUAACAGGAAAGCGCUUGCGCUUUUGCUGACGAGCGGCGGACGGGUGAGUAAUGUCUGGGGAUCUCCCCGAGGGCGGGGGAUAACCACUGGAAACGGUGGCUAAUACCGCAUAAUGUCGCGAGACCAAAGUGGGGGACCUGAAGGGCCUCACGCCGUCGGAUGAACCCAGAUGGGAUUAGCUAGUAGGUAGGGUAAAGGCCUACCUAGGCGACGAUCCCUAGCUGGUCUGAGAGGAUGACCAGCCACACUGGGACUGAGACACGGCCCAGACUCCUACGGGAGGCAGCAGUGGGGAAUAUUGCACAAUGGGGCAAGCCUGAUGCAGCCAUGCCGCGUGUAUGAAGAAGGCCUUCGGGUUGUAAAGUACUUUCAGCGGGGAGGAAGGGUUCAGCUUGAACAGAGCUGAAUUUUGACGUUACCCGCAGAAGAAGCACCGGCUAACUCCGUGCCAGCAGCCGCGGUAAUACGGAGGGUGCAAGCGUUAAUCGGAAUGACUGGGCGUAAAGCGCACGCAGGCGGUCAAUUAAGUUAGAUGUGAAAUCCCCGGGCUCAACCUGGGAAUGGCAUCUAAGACUGGUUGGCUGGAGUCUCGUAGAGGGGGGUAGAAUUCCAUGUGUAGCGGUGAAAUGCGUAGAGAUGUGGAGGAAUACCGGUGGCGAAGGCGGCCCCCUGGACGAAGACUGACG
rnacentral:rRNA from 1 species